rnacentral:lncRNA from 1 species
AGAGCUGCUUCCUUACAGAGUUAUCGUAUGGCUCCAAUAAGAUCAUAUGGAUCCUCUCAUAUGAAACAAGCCAAGAUGAAUUGGAGCUGAUUUCCCCUGGGCAGAGCUUGCUUCUCAUCCCUAGUACUCAAGGACGGUUCUCUCGCUCUCCUCCCCACUGUGCCUGCCACACAGAAAGAAAGUGAAGCCCCUGUGCCACCCAUUAAUGAAGAUGGGGCCAAUACGCUUGCCCAGGGUAAUUUGGCGUUUGGACAAACUUCUCUUGGUUCAAAGGAAGAAUUUGCUGUUUUAACAGGGUUAUUAGACUGGUAUCAUGGGACUGUCAUAGAUAAAACAUAAUUGCAUUUCGGUAAGGUAUUUGAAAAAAUCUCUAUACAGUUUUGGAAAAGAUGAAGAGAUGUGUACUAUGUGAUAAUACAAUUAAAUGGAUUGGGAAGUAAUUGAAUGACCUAUCUCUCCCUACCACCCCCCACCAAAAAUGGUGAUUAAUGGAUGAACCUCCACCUAGUCACAAGUUUCUACUCUGGUACUUCAUCAUGGUAAGAGGUAGUCCUGAGUUCUGGAAUAUUAUAUAUGCAGAAUACAAAC